rnacentral:lncRNA from 1 species
AUAUAUUCAUAUUGUAUCUGAAUAUAUGCACACAUAUACACAUAUACAGAUUUCUUCAGUGUGGGGAUCUCUCAGUGAGGAACUUCCCUCUACUAAUGCAGAUGUACAAUUUUUCAUUCAUCAAAUUGUAGUCUUCUGAACUCCAAGACGACCUUUUUCCCCUCCAAAAGACACACUAAUGAAACAUCCAUGGCCAAUAAGAAAAUAAAUUUUGAGCUGGAAGGGACCAUAGAGAUCAUCUAAUCCAAUUGUCUCUUUUUAUAGAUAAAGAAGGCCAGAAAUCUGAAGACACUUGACCAGUGUGACAUAGUAUUUGGUGAGAUUGGAACACCAGUGUGCUGAUUCCAAUUCCAAGGCUCUGGCUUGAUUAAAUUGAUUAUUUACCAGAUGCUCAAAUUUUAAUCUGGGAAUAUUAAUUUUUAAAAUGAAUAUUGCAAGGACACUAAAAACCUAUCAAGCAGAUGCUGACAAGCAAACUAGCUAUAAUGGAAGGAGCAUAUAAACUUCUCCAGUACAAAUUAGAUGCUGCUUUCUAUUCUAGCUAUAUAGAAGGAAGACUGCUGAUUAAGGGACAAGUGCUGUCUUUCAUUUUAUAAACCAAAGGGCUUUUAGCUGAUAAAUAUAUAUCUGUACAUACUUGCACAUACACAUAUUAUAUGUAAAUAAUGUUUGUUCACAUGUAAAAUUAAUGUAUACCUUUCAAGCUCUUUAUGUGCUAGUAUAAAACCCUUUGAUUUGUUUAUUUCUCCUUUAAAUUAAUUCAGAUGCAAUGACAGCAGUUUAAGUAAUGUCCUCUCUGACUCUUCAGAAAAUAUAAUUCUUUUUUUUCUGCUGCUACAUUUUCCUGGGUAGAAGAAUAGCUAAAAAUUGUUUUUCUUGCAGAUAUUGUUAUGAAUUAUUUUAUGACUUAGUUUCAUUUGUCUUCAUCAGAGUAAGAGAAUAUUGAGAAGAUGGGGAAUAUGAGGAAAGGCCAUUGAGCCCAUCAAGUUCCUUCCUUUUUAAUGUACCCUGGAGAACAUCUAAUUGCUUCUUGAAUGACCCUGAAGGUCUUCCUGGAAUGAGCUUGUUGUCUUCUUUGUUGAGAAGACCAUCCCCAUCUCGUUCUAACUCAUUGUGACUUAAUUAUAGGAUACAUAUAAUAAAUUGGAGGCAAUCAGUAAUCCUUAAUCA